UACGAAGGGGGCUAGCGUUGUUCGGAAUUACUGGGCGUAAAGCGCGCGCAGGCGGCUAUCCAAGUCAGUGGUGAAAGCCCGGAGCUCAACUCCGGAACUGCCAUUGAAACUGUUUAGCUUGAGUAUGAGAGAGGUGAGUGGAAUUCCUAGUGUAGAGGUGAAAUUCGUAGAUAUUGGGAAGAACACCGGUGGCGAAGGCGGCUCACUGGCUCAUUACUGACGCUCAGGCGCGACAGCGUGGGGAUCAAACAGG
rnacentral:rRNA from 1 species